rnacentral:sRNA from 1 species
AAAAAUUUCUCCUGUGAUUGCGUUUUGAUUUUUGUAGGUGCUUCACGAUUCCAAUUAUCUCUCGCGAUGAUGGUGGAAAACGAAGGAAAUCACGCUCCUGAGUUUCGCCUCCUGAGUCUCGAUCGUGCUUGCGCGACUAGGGUUCACUAAUUUGGGGAUUUUUUCUGCGUUUUAGGGUUCCUCUGCUGUUUCUGGUUCUUCUGCGUUUCAGGUUGCGAAGACAGUGGAGAUCGAAUAACGAUUGGUGGUGGCCUAGCGAGUAGCUCGCGAAGAGGCGCUGGUGUGUUUGCAUGGUCUCUGCGGCGACAUUGACGAGGUGGUCAGGUUCUGAUUUUGUCUCACAGUGGUGAAAAUGUUGGGCGAACUCGCGAUUCGGUUCCUGCAAUUUGCAGUUCUCUCUACAGUGGCUGCCAUGGAAGCGUGAUUUGGUUACCGGAGAAGAUGAAGGAUGGCAUUCCAGGAGCAAUGUUUGGUGAUGGCAGUGCUUUUGGACCUUUCCAUGUGUUCUAUGAAAUGAGAUGACCACUUUGCCCUUAUUUAAAUUUUAUUUUCCCUCUUUG